AAGUUGUGAUUCUCUUUGUUAUAUUUGCUGCAUAUUGUAUGUUUAAAUUAACUCUAAUUUUUGAGCAAGCAAAUAAAAAAUUAAAUGCCAAAAUAAAGAAUGAAGUUAGAAGUUUGAUUAUUAGGUAUUGAUAUAAAUUUUAUAUGUUCGAAACUGGUUUUUAAAUUUAGUAUCGUUAAUUUGUAAAAGUUUAGUUAUUAGGCAUUGUGUAUUUUUUAUUAUGUUAUUGUUGAAACUAUUUUUUUUUUUUGCCUCUUUUAAUGAAAUAAUUCGUUUAUUUUAAUAUUGAUGAAACUGGUUUUUAAAGUUAGUAUCGUCUUUAGAUUGUAAUUUUUUUCAUUAUCUUGUUGAUGAAACUAUUUUUUGUAUUCUUUAAAUGAAAUUAUUAGUUUCUUUCAAUGUUGAUGAAACUAGUUUUUAAAGUUUGGAUUCUUUUUAGAUUAUGAUUUUUUAUAUUGUUUUUUUUUUUCAGGAUGAUAUUGAUGAAACUGGUUUUUUUUUUUUUUUGCUGUUUUUAAUGGAAUAAUUAGUUUUUAACAAAAAAAAAACGAAUAGUAGUUUAAAUAAAAAAACAAGUUUAAUUUUUGUAAAAAAAAAUGAAAUAUAAAAAUGUACACUUAUUAUAUAUAUUAAGAGAAAAAAAUUAGGUUGAGAAAAAAAUUGAAAAAAAAAAAGAGAGACACAAAGAGAAAUUAGAAAAAAAAAAUAGAGAGAGAUAAGCGAAAGAAAGAAAAAAAAAAUAGCAACUGACUUAAAAGUUGAAAAGAAAAAAGAGAGCCAAAAUUGACUAAAAAAUAUAUAAAAAAGACAAAAAAAAAAACUUUUUGAAGUUUCAAUAAGUAAAAAAGAAAAAAAAAAUUAAUAAAAGUAUAAAAGUAAAAUGUUCUUGUCAAAUUAAAAAUGUAAUGUUUGAAAAAAAAUGUAGUAUUUGGUGUAAAUUUUUCAAAUAAAAAGAAACCCUAAAAUGUAAGUGUAAAAUAAAUUAAAAAAAUAAAUAAAACUAAUUAAGCUAAAAAUAAAAACAUAAAAUAUGGGAUUGGAUAAUAAGUUUAUAAAAAUAUGGCAUAUCAAAUACCAUAAAAAACUUAAAUGUGAAAAAAUGCCAUAGAAAAGUGGCAAACCUAAAAAUACCAUAUUUUUCUAACUUUGUUAUGAAAUCCCAUAUUUCAUGUAAUUUUCACUAUUAUAAAUAUCCACCCCUAAUAAUGCUACCCCAACAACUCGACUAUAUACGAGAAUUGUUUGAGAGCGCUUGAUAAGUGAAGAAGCGAAUGACCACAACAUCAAAAUUCCAACAGAGCUCUUCAAGCACAAACUGUAGCAUCAACAUCAAACAUAAAGCACAUUCUGUCUAGCACUUUCUAAAUAGUUUUCCUACCAUCGAUCUCCAUUGUUGCAGGACCUAGGGACGAAGCUACAUAGUGGCUUAGGGGGGCAAGCCCCGAGCCAAAUUCAAUCUUAAUGCUUAGCCUUGUUUCUUUUGAACCAAACCAUCCGCAUCACACUAACGAAUGUCUCAAUCUUAACUUCUGGUAAUUCAAAAAUACAUGUAGCAAUCACCUCUUCAACCAUAUUUUUGCUUCACCUUGCCACCUUACCAACCCAAGUUGUACGUUUCCAAUAAGAGGUUGAGAAGGACAUGCAAAGAGAGCACGUAUAACAAAUUCAUCUUCAGAGCCAUUCUAGAAACAUCUUAGGUUUACACUUAUACCUCUAUUGUUAAGAAUCUUAGCAGCGUAAAAGAGAUAUCGGAUGCCCUUUUCCAUGCAGUUCACAAUGUGGAGUUGCCAACUAGCUAAGCUAGGUAGUUUGUUGUUAGAGCAUCACUAACGAGGCUUCAUAUUUGGUGAUGUCGUGGAAUUGACCCUCUAACGUAGCUGUAAACAUUACACUAAAUUGUCGUGUGUACUAUAGUGCAUGACAUAUAUGAUGUGCAAGGUACACAUGACAUACUUUUUUUUUUUUUAUAUAUAUAAUUAAUUUUUGUAUAUAUUUAUAUUAUUAAUUGUAUUUAUUAAAUUAUAAUGUGUCUUUUUAAAAGUAGUGCGCUGAUAUACUCCUACUUGUUUCGAAAUUUGAGAUUUUUUUUUUAUAGUAGCGUACAUUAUACUUAUUUAAGACAUCAUGCAAAAUUUUGAAAAAUUCUGAUAAAUUUAACACGCCGAAAAUAAGGUUCAAAUUGUCUAUUACACAAGUAACUCUUUUAUUUGAAGAGUACAUUGUAAAAGCACAUUUUAAUUUAUUGUGUGUAAAUUUAAAUAUGAAUACUAUAAAUUAUUUUUAUGAUAUUAAAAAUAAAUUUUGAAUGCACAUCUUUAAAAGUGAUAUACUGAUAUAUUCCUACCUGUUUCGGUAAUCGAGAGACAAAAACACUUCAAUAAUGUAAAAGAUUAUUUUUUGAUCUACCGAGAUAAUCAUAAUAUGGAUUAUAAUCUUGUGAGAUAUUAUUGAGUUUUACCGAUUUUACAGUAUUAUUAUCUUUUAACAAUUGUAGUGAUUUUAUUAAAUUAAUAUAAUAUUAAAAAUUAAUAUAAUAAUAUGGAAUAUUUUUUAGUGUUAUGGUUAGAGUAGAAAUAAUUUUUGACACUAAUUUUAAUGAUAGUGUGACACCAAAUUGAAUGUACUCCUCGGAGAUGCUCUUAGAAUCUCUAUUCUAGUUGGAAGAUUGAAAGAAUAUACUCCACACUAUAGGAGAGUCGAAGACUGGUUCUCAAAGCUUGCACGGGAAUCGAAGCCCAUAAUAUCCUAGUUGGAAGAUUUAAAAAAUAUAAUAUACACUAUAGGAGAGUCAAGUAUUGAUUCUCAAAGUUCACGAUGUAGAGUUGCCAACUAGCUAAUUAAGCUUGGUAGUUUGUUGUUAGAAUCUCUAUCCUAGUUGGAAGAUUGAAAGAAUAUGCCAUACCUUAUAGGAGAGUCAAAGACUGAUUCUCAAAGCUCGCACAAGAAUUAAAACCCAUAAUAGACAUUCCAAAAAACUCUUGAUUUCCAAGGAAAUAUUAAUAAUGCAUAACCGCAUCUUGUUGGAAUUUAUUUUACCAGGAUCUUAACUUAUUAAUUAUGUAUGUUUGAUUAUUCAUCUAUAAUCUAACAUCCUAAAUAUGAAUAAUCCUAAAACGAUAAAUAAACACUUAAGAGAUUAGAAAAAUCUUACAUUGGUUGCAAUGGAAUAUAACAUGUCAUUCCGUUCAGUACUCUAACUAUUGUUUCAAUCUAUUGCAGAGUAACAACAUGUACUAAACUUGGAAUCUCCUUCCUUAACCCAAAAAGCGUUACUUUUUCAUAAUCUUCUACAAAGGUCUGAGUAUCACCUUGAAUAGUGUGGCCUGAUACUCAACUCACCUUUGGAAUAUACUUUGAGAGAGAAAAAGGCUAUUGAAUUUGGAAAAUAUAAAGAGAAGAAAAGAGGAGAGCUUUUCUUGUGUCAGAUCUAGAAAUUAGGUUAGAGUAGCAUUACCAAGUUUUCUCUAAUCACUUUCUUUAUAUAGUCAUCACUUAAGUUAGGUUAAAAUGAGAUGGACUUAAAAUAGAAAACUUGGACUUAAUACACUAUAGGGCUGAAUUCCACUUAAAGGUCAUAUAGUUAAAUUUUGGGAAAUUUUUACAAAUGCACAAAAGUAGUAAAAACAACAAAUAUACGUACACACGGCAAAGAAAACAUAUAUACGGUAACUAUAUAUUAAUUUACAUAAAAUACGGUGUCAUCAUCUUCGACACCUUCAACACUCUCUUUCCAGGAAAAAAAAUCAGAGCAGCCAUUGUUCCCUCAACGAAGCUUUCUGAAACAAAAAUUCAACAACUCAAUGUAAAAUUCACAAAAAAACUCACCUAUUCAAAUAUUCAGGUUGAAAACAAACAUCAACAAAGGUCAAUCGAUCAACAACAAAAUCUCAUAGAAAAAAUCUGCUUACAAACCUGUAUCAAACAUUUGAAACACAAAUCUCAAAAGGAACUGAGUAAUAUCUAUACUACCUAACCUAAAAUUCUCAUUUGAAUGUUGCAGAUCAUACAAUAAAUAGUUUAGAAAUUGUUGAUCGGAGCUCCCUACUAAAUCUAAAUUCAAAUUGAAAACAGAUCAUACUAGAAUGAGUUGAAAAAUUAUUGAUUGAAGCUCCCUACUAAAUCCAAAUUCAUUUUGAAAACAGAUCAUACAAGAAUGAGUUGAAAAAUUGUUGAUCAGAGCUCCCUAUCAAAUCCAAAAAGAAAAUAACAAGGUAUUAGAUUACUGCUGAUGAUUGCAUGCUAACGAUUGAAACAUUUGAUUCAAAAAAAAUUUUAAAAAAAUAUAUAGUCGUGAAUGUUUAUAGUUGUUUAAUUGUUUAAUUUCUGUAAAUCAUUUGAAUGUUCAAUUUAUUCAUGUAUAAAACAAACAAAAAAAAAUUGAAUUACAUAUAUCUUGAAACAAAUAGAAGUUGUCGAUU